rnacentral:lncRNA from 1 species
GUGAAUCUGGUAGUUCUUCAAGUGGAUUUUGAUGUUGCUUUUGGAUUACAUAUGCAGUGGUGAAGAUUUUGGAUAUGAGAAGAUGAGAGAUCUGAAGAGUUGAAGUAACGUUUUGGGGUAAGUGGUGGUGGUGGUAGGUGCUAAUGGUAUGUCACCGGAAUAAGUAAUGGAUGAUGUUUGACUGUUGUCAUCCUCUCUAUUUAUAGUGGCGGGAUCCUGCACUGACUAUUAACAUCCUCUAUAAGCAUCUGUAUUUGUAUCAUGUAUGCAUCUAUAUCUGUAUGCAGGAUCAUGUUGUUUGAGGAUCAUGUAUGCAUCUUGAUAACAGUCAUCUGCGCAUUAGUUAUAGGAUCAUGUUUGAGAACAUAGAGGAUGAUGUUUGAUGCACAUUAGUUACAGGAUGAUAAGAGUCAAUUGUGUAACAACCUAUUUGAAUUGAAGUUUGGACUUG